AUCUGGGCGGCGGAAUUCAGGAUGGCGGACGCGUCUUCGCGGGCGCGUUCGUCGUUUGAUAUUUCCGUCGCCAAAACAAUCCGCAGACGUCGCGACCUGUUCGCGGUCGGUCCUUGCUCGGAGGAGCCACGUUCGAGUUCGUUGUGAGCGCGUUUAUGCGCGUUUCACGGCGAAGGCGUGGAUCUCUGGCUGGCCGACGGACAGUACGCUCAACGGUGUCCGAUGUCGUCGUCUCGUACGCGCGCGCAUCGGUACCGGUCAGCGACGAAUUCUUCGGGCCUCUUUCCGACCCGUCUUGAAACACGGACCAAGGAGUCUAACAUGCGCGCGAGUCGCGGGGUGUCGAGCGUACUACGGUGCGCUCGUUACGUUGCGAAACCCGUACAUGUCGAAGGCGUAAUGAAAGUAAAUGGGGAAGAUGGUGUUCCGAGUACACGUUCCGCGGUCAUUGGUACCGCGGCCGGACACCCGCAUUCCCGGGGCGUCUCAACGGCCCGUCGCGGAUGCGGACAGUCGUCUUUCGGGGCGGCUGUCGGUCUGCGACGAACCGA
rnacentral:rRNA from 1 species